rnacentral:rRNA from 2 species
GUCGAACGCACUGACGUCGACCGAAGCUGCUUGCAGUGGACGUUGAUUGACGUGAGUGGCGGACGGGUGAGUAACACGUGGGUAACCUACCCUUAAGUGGGGGAUAACAUUUGGAAACAGAUGCUAAUACCGCAUAACCAUUCAGACCACAUGGUCUGAAUGUAAAAGACGGCCUUUGGCUGUCACUUUUGGACGGACCCGCGGCGUAUUAGUUAGUUGGUAAGGUAACGGCUUACCAAGACAAUGAUACGUAGCCGACCUGAGAGGGUAAUCGGCCACAUUGGGACUGAGACACGGCCCAAACUCCUACGGGAGGCAGCAGUAGGGAAUCUUCCACAAUGGACGAAAGUCUGAUGGAGCAACGCCGCGUGAGUGAAGAAGGUUUUAGGAUCGUAAAACUCUGUUGUUGGAGAAGAACAGGGACUAGAGUAACUGUUAGUCCUUUGACGGUAUCCAACCAGAAAGCCACGGCUAACUACGUGCCAGCAGCCGCGGUAAUACGUAGGUGGCAAGCGUUGUCCGGAUUUAUUGGGCGUAAAGCGAGCGCAGGCGGUUUUUUAAGUCUGAUGUGAAAGCCUUCGGCUUAACCGAAGAAGUGCAUUAGAAACUGGAAAACUUGAGUGCAGAAGAGGACAGUGGAACUCCAUGUGUAGCGGUGAAAUGCGUAGAUAUAUGGAAGAACACCAG